UGCUGUCUCUCCACACCAAUUUCUACAAUCAGAAACAGGUCAACUGUAGUCAUUUUGCACUUGAUCUACUUACUCACCGCUCAUCUCCUGACUCGCUCUCCCAUCACAGACAAUUUAUUUUUCACUGCGAAAUGCAACUGCCUUGGUAUCAUGUUGCAUAGUCCACCAGCACUAAUGCAAAGUGAUGCCCGUGUGAAGAUCAUUCUAAUGGCCUGAUGAGGUCCAUAAUAAUUCGUUCGAUGGGGACCUGCAUCAAUGGUAACAGGUGCAAUUUUUGCACUUUUGGGGUGGCCGGUGGAUUUAAAAAGUGAAAGUUACAUGACGGGUGUCCCAUACUUAGAUUUUGUGCUCUGCAUUUCACCCAUCCAAGUGCACACACACACACAGCAGUGAGUAUUUAACACACACACACACACACACCCCGUGAACACACAACCGGAGCAUGGGUAACCUCAGUUGUGGGUAAUGAGGGUGGAAGUGAGCGCUGUGUCAUCUCUUAACAUUAGUAAAAUGCAUGUUGUGUUGUAAUAUGGUACAUUUGAAGAAGAAAUUGAGCAACAUCACAUUCGCAAUCAUAGACUUGUCUGAUGGGAACUAGGAGUCUUUCUAUAUAUACAGAUUCAUACAUAAUAGUAGUUCUUUAAACAAGGAAUCAAUUUCAAUUAUACAAAUAACUUGUAUAAUCUGCUUUGGAGUUUUGAAUGCCCUGAUUACAUUUAUUUAUUUAUGCUUUAUUCUGGUCUACAUAUUACAACAAAACACAUCCCAAUGCAGCAACAACUGUCUGACGGCCUUGAGAUAUACGAUCUUAUCAAAGUCCUGCAGAGAAAGCCACAGGAGUGUCACAAUCUCUUCAUCAUAGAAAUAUAAUGACAAAGUCGACUCCCAUUACAUUUUAUCCCACCUGGCCCCAGAGAUGAGCCCAACUGGUUCGAUUAAACAAGUGAAAGAGUCAAAAAUCAUGAAGGUAUGGAGAAAAAAAAAAAAAAAAAAAAAGUAUAAUGUGCUGUUAUUUGAUAUCCAGGUGUAAAUAUGCUACUGUAGUUCCCAACUUAAAGGCUAUAAAUAAACCAAUGCAUUAAUUCUAAUUUCAUCUCUAUUUCUUCUGAAGACACACAACCAGAAGAUGGGGCAGCAGUAGAAACCUUGUCUACUGAAGAUAAUGCAGUGGAUGACUGGGCAAGCUCACAGGCAUCUGAUUGUAUCGGAGAGGGAGAAAUUUACAUGUGGGGCAAGCUCUGACAGAGCGUAGCAAAUUUGUUGAAAUUUUUGGAGAAAAAAAAAAAAUCUAAUUGCAAUUUUUCUGAUUAAUCUGAUUUAUAAAACCAAUGAAAUAAAAUAAACAAUAUCAGGUUUGUUUUACUUGUUUGUAGGGCUGCAUAAUUUAACCCAGAAUUUUGUGCUAAUAUAUUAAUUUGCCUAAUGUAAUAUUUAUUAUUAUACAAUUAUUAUUAUUAUCAUCAUUAUUGCUAAAUAAAAAUAUUAAACCAAAUAAGAAAUGUUACUAUUGUAAUAACUUUCAUUAUUAAAAAUAAAAAUAGAGUAUUUAAGGAUAAAUAUAACUAUAAUAAUUUGAAAAUAAUAUUUUUACAGAAAACUGGUUUAGCAGAAGUCUGGGGAACGGGCGGCGGCUUGUGUGGGUGUGUGUGUGUGUGUGUGUCGACGUCACGGCUGAGCUGACACACACACAGAGAGAGAGAGAGAGAGAGAGAGCGAGAGCGAGAGCGAGAGAGACUUCCUUUUAUGAAGAUGAUUCCUUCCUGCUGCUUCCUUCCCAGAAUCAGGAGUUGAUUUAUAUUGAGUUGUUUGAGUAAGUGAGCUCAGGAUUUUGUGAUGCACUGUUUCUUAAUAGAAAGAGACUUGAAUGUGUUGAACAUGUUUUGACUCUUUGAUAUUUUAAUUAUGUUGUAAAUAGCUUGUUUCUUUUGUAUCUGUAUUUCUUUCUUGUUUUGGGGAAUGUAAAUGGAAUUAUAUUAUUUUUCUGGAUUACCUUUCUCCAGGUAAUUUAGAGUUUUCUGAGUUAGUCUUUUAUUUUGUUUUUUUGUUGUUUUGGCCAGGCUCUCCUCUGAAGCUGUUGCUCCUAUUUUCCUUAUUAUUAUUUUUGAUAACGAUAUUUCUGUUAUGGUUAUUGUUACUUUUGUGCAUUUAUUUUUACUCUAUGUAAGAAAAUUAAAAGUUAGUACUGGCUGAAUUGGUGGUUGUGUUGUUGAUUCUGGGACAGAAGGUUGGACAUCCCCAUUCUCUCCAUGUUUUUUUUCUUUUUUUUUUUUUUUUUUUUCUCUUUUUUUAAAAAUGUAAUUCUUCUUUAUUUUGUUACCAGCUCCUCAACCCUACAUGGGUAGCUAUCUAACACUACACCUCCUCCUCAUUGUAAAAGUUUGGGGCUGACCAGGGAGGUACUGGCUUUGGGGAACCAUAACAGCAAAGAAAUCUAGAGGGUGGGAUGGGGCCUUGAUUAGAGGCACUCUCUGGAACAGGCUCGGGGAUUUCAGUCUCUGAAACAAACACUGGACUGGGCUCAGGGGCUGGAGGACUAAGCCGACACUGGACUGGGCUCAGGGGCUGGAGGGCUGAGCCGACAAUGGACUGAGCUCAGGGGCUGGAGGGCUGAGCCGACACUGGACUGGGCUCAGGGGCUGGAGGGCUGAGCCGACACUGGACUGGGCUCAGGGGCUGGAGGACUAAGCCGACACUGGACUGGGCUCAGGGGCUGGAGGGCUGAGCCGACACUGGACUGGGCUCAGGGGCUGGAGGGCUAAGUCGACACUGGACUGUCACUGUCAAAACUUUUUGAAUUUUCUCAGUAACCUCAGUGUAUUCAGUGAAUUGAAAAUCAAUGUGCCUACAUUAUCUGCUCCAUUUUUUCAAGGCUCUCACAUAGUGAUUUUUGUUUGACUGCAUUGGCAAUGUUAGAAACAGUACCUGUUGCACCACCUUCAGCUCAGACUCCAACACCAACACCUGUGACAAUCAGAGCUGCACCAAGAGUGAUUCCUCCAGCUGCUCCAAUCACUGCAGCUGACAGACCGGCUUCAGUGCAUGAAAGAAAAAACAAACAAACAUGUAAUCUGAAACUGAUAAUGCCAAGAAAAAUCAAGUUUAACAAAAAUUCUGUUACUGUUUUUUUCCCCUCACCUUUCCAAUGCUUUUGAGCAUCCAAAAUCAUCUAGAUUGAGGUAACCAUCUUCAGUCAGGAAAACAUUCUAGAAACACAACAAAUAAAACACAUUUGGCUCAGU